CUGGCCCCUGUUGGAAAACAUGAUAAUGGGCUAGAUGGACCAUUGGUAUGACCCAUUAUGGCUGUUCUUAUGAGCUUGUGCCCUUUCCAGCUUAGUCAAGUUUAUAAAGAAGGCCAUUAUUUCUUUAGUGUUCAUAUAUAUAUAGAAAAAGGGUGCACUGGGUUUUUGUUUAUACUAGAAACAUCAGGAAUGUUGUGGCUGAUCUCUGAUUUUGCUGGAGGACUUCUGGGAGGUCUGUGGGGAUUUAUUCUCUCCUUAGCGCCUCAGUUGAAGAGGUUGGGAAGUGGAAACUUUAACAGACACUCUUCUAACCAAGAGUUAAUAAGGCAUUGGAGUUGGGUGGGUAUUAAGUUAAAGAAAGAAAUCUCUGGCAGUUUCAGCAGUCUGACUGUUAAGCCCUUUUCUCCCCCAGUUGCUCAAGUCUUCCUCUCUGGAGAAGCUGUGAAUUGAUGACAUCACCAGACACCCUUGGGACUGCCAGCCUAGACCAGAGCUGGAUUUCUAGUUCAAAAAAACCCCACCCUUUAAAAAAACAACCCAACCCUUUCAAGCCUUCUUUAUCCAGCUGGAAACAUAGCACAGAACAGCUCUAAUUUGCCCCCUCCCCUUUUGCUAAUCACCUUUAAGGAGGCAGGUGCCCAUCUGCCUAGGGCUCCUCAGGCCAUGCUGCUAGUUCUUCUCUUUCCGUUCUCUCUCUCCUGCUCUUUUUGACUUCUGUUUUUCCUUCCCUCUUUAGAUUUUCACUUUGAUUGAUUGCUGCUCUCUCUCGCCCCUGUAAACCAGAGUGGCUCUUUGCCUCUUCAUAGUGGCUAGACCACACAUAGAGGUUUCAGAGUCUCCUCCUGCUACUUAGCUAAUAGAGCAGGCUCCCAAUUUCCAGGUCUCAGCUCAGGCAACAGAAGUGGGCUCAUCCUUUUAGAGCCCAAGUUGUCUGUGGAUUGAACAUACAGAUUCAGCUAGGGGGUCACUUGUUGUGUGGUUCCCCUACUCUGCUAUGCUCAGCAGCACACUCUGGGCAGCCUGCUUUUCAGAGAGGCUGAGCACCUUGUGACACCAGUUUGAAAUCAAUGGGAUCCCUGGAUGCUUAGCCACUCUGAAAAUGGGGCCUUUGCUUUUCUGGGAAUGGGAUGUCUAUUGGUGGCCCUGUGGGACUGAGCUCAGUGUUUGAGGAAGGGGGCUGGAAGAACUUGCCUGAGGCUGACGCUCUGAGCGUGUUGACUGUUCCUGGAGAUAGGUGCAGUGGGAGCAGAGAUGCAAAGUGGGUGACUUUACAGGAACCAGCUGCUGCUUUCCCCCAUUUCUGAGCUUAUCUGUGCCAUCUGUGCAGGGUUACACACCUUCCCCACCCCUCUGUGCUCUGCCCUGCACCCACUUGGGACUUGCCUGGGUUCACCUUCCCAGGGGUCCUCUACUGCAAGGUGGGCAACACUGGCUUCCCUACUCAGCUGGGAACUCCAAGGGGCUUUCUUUGGUGGUGCUAAGCAUCACAUGGAGUUGUGGGCACUUGGCCUUGCUGAAAACCAGGCCAAGAGGGGCUUGAACUGUGCAUUAGCAGGAGCCCAGGGCAGCAUCUGCUACCAUCCUUGGCAAAAGCAAAGAUUGAGCCAGGCCUCCAGUUCUAACCUUUCCCUGCCCAUAGGCCUCCACCUGGCCUGGCAGCGACAGCAGUGGUGGUGAGGCAGCACCAUGGGAGGGAAGGGGCUUGUACCACCAUUUUCAAAAGCCACUUCUGACUCUGGGGGGGCCUAACCAGUCCCUCAGGCCCUGCUGUGCCGAGAGGCUGAGUGCAUGGUGUGCACCUGCUCAGCGCCUCGGAGCAGCAGGCCCCGGGUGACUUAGCUUGGCUGCCUCCCAUUAGCACUGGCCCUGCUCUACUGCACUGAUGUGGGCAAGGGCCCAAAUGCAAGUGUGGAGGGAAGGGGCAGGACUGGGCUCCUUGGCAGGGUUUAGGGUGGGUGAGAGCCUGUGCCCUGCCUGAGUAGCAGCUUACGGGAGAAGAGCCUCUGUUUGACCACACCCCAUGGGUAUGUUCCUAGGAAGCGCUUGUGUGCACCCCCUGUUCCUAGAGCCCUGUAGUCACUCUUUCUGCCCCCUGGAAAUCAUCACCAGGUGCUAGUUGUCAGACCCCUCCCAAAGGGCUAGAUGGGGGUCUGCACACCCCAGGGCACAUCGCAGCUGAGAGGGCCACUCUGCCCUAGCAGGGAGUGCACUGGAGGCCAUGCUGUUACGUGAGAGGGAAGAUGGGAAUAAUUGUUCUAGAAUUUAUCAUCUCUGUUUUUUUUCCAUCUGUUUUCUAACCCUGUAUUUGUAACCCCGCUGGGUUGAUCUCACUGUGACAGGUGGAGAGGGCAUGAAGUGGGAGCCCUCCCUUCUCACAACAACAGGAAAUUGAGCAUUCAGUAGCCCAUGAAGGGCUACAAAACAGGGAGUAUGCCUCCUUUGUGUUACACCUCUGACUAGCCACAAGGUGGCUGGACCUAUGAGCACGCUCCUCUGCCUUCCCCCCUGCUCUGGGGUGCAGGAGGACUCACCUUGUACUGUCCACAGCUGAUAUCUACCAUGAUGAAGCAGGAAUGUGUCUGUUUGUUUGAACAUGGAUGGAUGUGUCAGUGACCAAGGAGACAGGUGGCUCUGGUCACAUCUGCAGUAGAGCCAGGCAGCUCCUGUACAAUUGAUCUUAAGUGUUUAAAAUAAAUUUAACAAACAUUAAAAUACUAAAUGUGGCCAUG